rnacentral:rRNA from 1 species
AUUGAACGCUGGCGGCAGGCCUAACACAUGCGAGUCGAACGGUAACAGGAAGAAGCUUGCUUCUUUGCUGACGAGUGGCGGACGGGUGAGUAAUGUCUGGGAAACUGCCUGAUGGAGGGGGAUAACUACUGGAAACGGUAGCUAAUACCGCAUAACGUCGCAAAACCAAAGAGGGGGACCUUCGGGCCUCUUGCCAUCGGAUGUGCCCAGAUGGGAUUAGCUAGUAGGUGGGGUAACGGCUCACCUAGGCGACGAUCCCUAGCUGGUCUGAGAGGAUGACCAGCCACACUGGAACUGAGACACGGUCCAGACUCCUACGGGAGGCAGCAGUGGGGAAUAUUGCACAAUGGGCGCAAGCCUGAUGCAGCCAUGCCGCGUGUAUGAAGAAGGCCUUCGGGUUGUAAAGUACUUUCAGCGGGGAGGAAGGGAGUAAAGUUAAUACCUUUGCUCAUUGACGUUACCCGCAGAAGAAGCACCGGCUAACUCCGUG